rnacentral:rRNA from 1 species
AGAGUUUGAUCCUGGCUCAGGAUGAACGCUGGCGACGUGGAUAAGGCAUGCAAGUCAUGGGGGAACGUAACAUUUUGCGCAAGCAAAAUUGUACGUUCAACCGGCGAACGGGUUAGUAACACGUAGAUACCAACCCUAUUCACGGGCAUAAUCCGUCGAAAGACGGACUAAUUCCCGAUAGUCCCGUGAGGGUAAAGGCACAGAGCAAUCUGGGCCGGAAUAGGAUGGGUCUGCGGCCUAUCAGCUAGUUGGUUAGGUAAUGGCUAACCAAGGCUAUGACGGGUAGGGGGCGUGAGAGCGUGUUCCCCAACAAUGGCACUGCGGCACGGGCCAUACUCCUACGGGAGGCAGCAGUCGAGAAUAUUCGGCAAUGGGCGAAAGCCUGACCGAGCGACGCCGCGUGCAGGAAGAAGGCCUUCGGGUUGUAAACUGCUUUUCUGCCUGAACAAGCUUCGGCUAAGUGUAAGGCAGGAAUAAGGGGUUCCUAACUCUGUGCCAGCAGGAGCGGUAAUACAGAGACCCCGAGCGUUAUCCGGAUUUAUUGGGCGUAAAGGGUCCGUAGGCGGCCCGCCACAUCUCUUGUUAAAUUUUCAGGGCUUAACCUUGAAACUGCGAGAGCGAUGGGCGGGCUAGAGGGCGUUAGAAGCUGAUGGAACGGUCGGUGUAGGGGUGAAAUCCGUUGAUAUCGACCGGAACACCAAAAGCGAAGGCAUUCAGCUAGGGCGGCCCUGACGCUGAGGGACGAAAGCGUGGGGAGCAAAAAGGAUUAGAUACCCUGGUAGUC